CAGCAGCCACGGUAAUACAGAGGGUGCGAGCGUUAAUCGGAUUUACUGGGCGUAAAGCGUGCGUAGGCGGCUAAUUGAGUCGGAUGUGAAAUCCCCGAGCUUAACUUGGGAAUUGCAUUCGAUACUGGUUAGCUAGAGUGUGGGAGAGGAUGGUAGAAUUACAGGUGUAGCGGUGAAAUGCGUAGAGAUCUGGAGGAAUACCGAUGGCGAAGGCAGCCAUCUGGCCUAACACUGACGCUGAGGUACGAAAGCAUGGGGAGCAAACAGGAUUAGAUACCCGGGUAGUCCCUGUCUCUUAUAC
rnacentral:rRNA from 1 species